rnacentral:lncRNA from 1 species
UCCUCGAUUAGUUCUCUAGAGUGACAGAGCAGCUCCUUUUGGUCAAUCAGUUCCAGCACCACAAAAUUAGGUUUUUGCCUUUGCUUCUUAAUCUCCUCCCGCCACACGUCGAUUCCAAUGGUUAGAAAAAGCUGUUCUCGAACAGGUAGGUAUGGUGGCCUCCUUAUACGCAAUUUCAAGUGGUGCCAUUCCGCCAACGGAGAACAUUAGAUGUACUUAUGUUUUACCCCUAUAAGAGAUGUUGGAGUUUGAGUUCCAU